GACGAACGCUGGCGGCGUGCUUAACACAUGCAAGUCGAACGGAAAGGCCCCUUUGGGGGUACUCGAGUGGCGAACGGGUGAGUAACACGUGAGUAACCUGCCCUUGACUUCGGGAUAACUUCAGGAAACUGGGGCUAAUACCGGAUAGGAAUCCUUGCUGCAUGGUGGGGGUUGGAAAGCUUCGGCGGUUUUGGAUGGACUCGCGGCUUAUCAGCUUGUUGGUGGGGUAGUGGCUUACCAAGGCUUUGACGGGUAGCCGGCCUGAGAGGGCGACCGGCCACAUUGGGACUGAGAUACGGCCCAGACUCCUACGGGAGGCAGCAGUGGGGAAUAUUGCACAAUGGGCGGAAGCCGGAUGCAGCAACGCCGCGUGCGGGAGGACGGCCUUCGGGUUGGAAACCGCUUUCAGCAGGGGCGAAGCUUGUGGUGACGGUACCUGCAGAAGAAGCACCGGCUAACUACGUG
rnacentral:rRNA from 1 species